AGCCAAUCGAAAGCUUCAGAGCAUGAGAAGAGGCAGACUCGGGCUUCCGGAGCCAGUUUUAGGGCUCGUUAUAAUUUAAUGAUGCUGCACUGGGCCCCCUUCUUUCCCAGCUCCCCCAGAAGAAUCCCUGCCGUACUCCACACAACCCUAAUCGACUUGGAUUCUCAAUGGAUUCUCCUCUCCUAGACAUUUUCAUAAAGAAGAGUCCUGAGAAAUUCCAUUCUGGGGAGUGGGGCCUACUGUUUCAGGAGUCUGAGGAGCAGAUAGACAAGCGUCUCUUUGGAAUAUCUUCAUCCCUGUGGACACAGUUACAUAGCUGAGCUGCUCUUGAGUCCAAGAUCCUUCUGCCGCUGCUUCUCUGUGCUGAGAUGACAGCACUGGAGUUACAGACAGUCGUGAACGGCCUACUGAGACUCAAACCACCUGUGACAAGUGCUCUUAACCACUGAGACAUCCUUCGAACCCACAAAGCUCCCAUAAUGGCCUUGCCCAACAGCCAGGGCUUCUGGAGAACAGACUUUUGAGGCUGGGGACUGGAAGUUGCUUAGUGUCUUGAAGGUGGGGCCAGAAGUCAGUGGUGCAUGCAGAGGUCGGGAGUGAGGAUUCAGAGAGAAAAUACUCACCAGGCCUGGUGCCAACCAACCCUCUGACCUUGGCCCAGUUUGACACAAGGCCCAGUGUGAACACUGCAACCUUGGGAUGUCCUCUUCCUCUUAUGGUGAUUCUGUACCAAUAACAGCAAACGUGCAUCUCAGAGACCUCUCAGGUUCUUCUCACGCAUGAAUACCCACCACGACGAUGAUCCUAGCUAACCACGCAUACCCCUGCCUUAGUCCCUGCAGGUGGUCCUGACACCGCAGUACUGAAAGCCCUGAGGCUCCCUGCUGACUCACAGCCCAUCCUGACAGGCAAGAACAUCAGCCUCGCAGAUGCACAGUGUACCACCGGCUCCAGCGUAAUCCAAGUCGCCAGGAGACAUGAACAAAACCACUGCCUCCUCACUAAUCAUCCCCAGAUCUAUCCAAAUACAACCUUCCUUUCAAAAUUGAUCAUGUCCUCACCAGCUCAGAUAUGUUUGUAGCAACAGUAACUGGGUGAUGAGUGAUGGCCAAAGAUUCUGUUUAAACCAAAGUCUGUGACACUGUCAUUUUGACUGAUCUGCUUAAGUUUAUGAAAUACAAACAUUCUGUGCUCUGGGUUCUAAGAUAUCUAUGCGUGUAGGACAUAUAAUAUAAAGAACUUUUUAAAAUAUCACACACCAAAAGACCAAUCAAUACAUGGCCACAUUAGACAAAAGGCUCUCAAAAAAGACACAAUUCCAUAUAUAAAUGUGUGAAUGAGUGUGUGUGUGUGUGUGUGUGUGUGUGUGUGUGUGUGUUCAAAACCCCAUCCACCAAGGAAAUGCAAAUCAAAACUGCACUGAGAUACAUCUGUCUCAAGCAGUCAGAAUGGCUGUCACCAAGAGAAAAAUACACUAACAAACAGUGGUAAAGAUGAAGAGGAAAGGCAAACCUGUCACACUGUGGUGGGAAAGGAACUAGAGAAGGCACAGUGGAGAGCAGUAGGAGGCCCUCAAAAGCUGGAAGCUGCUAACAUAGGAUUCAGCUCUACCACCUCUGAGAAUCUAUGUGAAGGAACCUACCACACCACAGAGACUCUGGCACGCCUGUUUGAUCACCGCACCAUGCAUAGACAAGUUACAUAAUCAUGUUAGAUAUUCACCAGUGAAUGAAUGCAAGGAGAAAAUGCAACACACAAUUCAUAGUGGAGUCUUUCUUAGCUAUAAUGAAUAAAAUUAUAUCAUGUGCAGAAAGAUGUGAAGUGGAGAUCAAAUCAGCCAGAUUCAGGAAGACAAAUGUCAGACGAUCACCCAUACGUGGGAUUCACAUUGAAAAGAACACACACACAUGCACAUGUACACACACACACACACACACACACACGUACGUGCGUACAUAUAUGUAUAUAUACCUAACACAUGCACACACAUACAUGUAUACCUAUGACAUAAAAACAUCCAGAGAAGCAUUGGGAAGAGGAGAGGAGACAGCAGAAGGGAAGGAGGAGACUGAAGCAUGUAGAAGACAGUGACUAUAACCUAAGUGUAUGAUGCACGUGUAUGAAAAUGUCAUAAUAAAACCCAUUGUCUUGUA